UUAUCCUAGAUGAUUUGGGGAUGUGGU
rnacentral:piRNA from 1 species